CACGUAGGGGGCAAGCGUUGUCCGGAUUUAUUGGGCGUAAAGAGCUCGUAGGCGGCUCAGUAAGUCAGGUGUGAAACCUCCAGGCUCAACCUGGAGACGCCACCUGAUACUGCUGUGGCUAGAGUCCGGUAGGGGAGCGUGGAAUUCCUGGUGUAGCGGUGAAAUGCGCAGAUAUCAGGAGGAACACCAGGGGCGAAGGCGGCGCUCUGGGCCGGAACUGACGCUGAGGAGCGAAAGCGUGGGUAGCAAACAGG
rnacentral:rRNA from 1 species